ACUACUUCUUCUCCCCUGAUGCUGCAGCCACACCUCUGCCCAGCCCAUCCAUUUCUCUUGAGCUUCACAUCUCUGCACUUUGCUUAUGCCCUUCCUCCUGCCUGAAAUUGUCUUUCUUCCUUGCUUAGCUGGAAAAUUCAACCUUUACAGCCCAGAGAAGCAUUUAUGAGCGUCUAUUCUAUGUGACUACAGCUCCACUAAGUGACACCAAACAAGAUUCCUGGAGGAAGGAAAACAGAGUGCAGCUGGCAGAGACUGAAGGAAGUGCUGCGGGCCUGGGGUGCCCAUCUGUUCACCUCGGAGCUUUGUAGACACUGCAGUCUUCUCGUCAUUGUUUACAUCUUUCUUCCUUUGUGCCAUUUUCAGACAGGUUGUGUCUCUUCCUCCAUUCAACACUGCUCUCUCAUGGAGGAUUUGACCAGCUACAUCACCUUUAUUUUAAAGCAGCUGCUGGUAGGAGUCGGAGAAGUUCCCUUGCAGAUUCUCCAAUUGCCAGCAGUGUUCAGGAAACCCCAGCCCAUGUGAACUCACCACUGCUCCUGCUUUUGCCACCUCGGCAGGGGAUGUGGAAGUCCCCAGGUGUGCUGCCUCCAAGCUCCAGAGACUGAUGUGAACAUCUGGUUUUCUGGAAACCAAGGUCAUGUCCUGUUUGACUUCAUGCUUCAUGUUUCAAAACUGAUGGAAUCACUGAUCCUAGAGGAGUCAUGUAGGACUGAGUUCUAAGUGUAAAGACAGUGGUUUUCCAACUCAAGUGUGCUUCCUGAGUAGGUGUGAAGUGAGCACUGGGCAUGUGCCUUUUAACCAGCUGGACUUGUAAUUCUCAUCCAAGUAUCUGGGGACCAAAAGCCUCUGCUUUUUAUUUGCCAGCACAGUUCUCCUAAAUGAUCAUUGGGCUGACCUAACUUGCAUCAGUGCUGACAAACAGGUGGAGUUAGGCUUUGACCAGCCAGGUUCUCAUUUGUAGCUGUGUGUCUUUGCCCCUCUCCUCUUGGCUGUAGAUGCAGAGGUCCUUGUAUUCUUUUUGACCCUGAAACUCUAGAAUAAAUGUAGGUACACUCAGGCAGCAUUCAUAUUUCAGGCUUAUUUUCUAAUUGUGAAAUAAAAGGCCUUGUUAGGUAUGGGAGUUACAAAGCAGAUGGGUAGAAUUUUCCAGAGGAAAGAACAACUAAGCUGCUAUUGACACCACAUCACUGAGAAGCGUCUCCCCUCUUUGACCUGAGCACUGGACCGAGGCAUUUGUCUUGCCGGGAGUACUCUUCAAACUCCUUCGAAAUAGCUUCAGUGGGUGCUGGGCAAAGCACUUUAAUUUCUGUUUUUUCCAUACAAGGGUGGGGCUGAGAAGAAGAGUGGGUGUGAAGGGAGGAAGCAAGUAGGCAAAACUGUGUGUCGAUAAGCAAGUUAGCCCCAAGUCCUGCCCGUCCUCCCUCCUGUCUCCCCUGAGAUUAUUAGAGAUGAAAAGAGACCUGAGAGACAUAGCAGUAAAAUGGCCACAGGUGGAUUUUGAUUCUGAUCUGAACAAACCAGCUGUAGCAAUUGGGGGAAAGUGGACAUGAAAUGGGUAUUAGGUAUUAUUAAGACAUUAUGAUAAAUUUUGUUGGGUAUGAUCAUAGCAUGGUGAUUUUGUUAAAACAAGUUCUUACAUGUUAGAGAUACAGAGGGAAGUACAUAUGGUGAAAUGAUAUGUUGUCUGUGAUUUGCUUCAAAAAAACUUCAGGAAAAAAAGGUGGAGAACAGUUAAAACAAGAACAGCCAAAUAUUGAUAAUAGUUGAAGCUGGGUGAUAGAUCCAUGGGAGCUCAUUUUAUUAUUCACUCUACUUUCAUACUUUUUUCCUACAAUAAAACGUUUUAAUAAUAAAAAAGGUUUUAGUGUAUAUGCAAAAAUAAAUUGUCGAAUGAGCAAAUACUAA